UUUCCUGGCCAUACCAAUACAUAUGCCCACAUACAAAUAACUCAAAAGUUAUCUCCAUAUACUAAUAAAAAAGGGUCUUGCAGUCCACCAACCUUGAGAGGUUGAUUGCCUUUUAGUAUAAUAUGCAGGUUUGCUAAAGGUCGACAGUGAGAUUGAAAAUUAUUGGAGUGUAAAAACCUUAUAUAUUAUAUCAUGGUCUGUGGGCAAUAGACAUAAUUUCUCGGG